rnacentral:rRNA from 1 species
UACGAAGGGGGCUAGCGUUGCUCGGAAUCACUGGGCGUAAAGGGUGCGUAGGCGGGUCUUUAAGUCAGGGGUGAAAUCCUGGAGCUCAACUCCAGAACUGCCUUUGAUACUGAGGAUCUUGAGUCCGGGAGAGGUGAGUGGAACUGCGAGUGUAGAGGUGAAAUUCGUAGAUAUUCGCAAGAACACCAGUGGCGAAGGCGGCUCACUGGCCCGGUACUGACGCUGAGGCACGAAAGCGUGGGGAGCGAACAGG